AGCUUUUAGUUUCGAACCUGGAAGGCUCAGAUCUACAAAAGGCCCCAACUUCCCGGCCUUGAUAUCACCGGACGUGCAACACGCGUCAUUGUCCCCUUUACUUUUAAGGCCUUAAGGAUUUUAUUUAUUUUCAGUCUGGGGUGCAUUACAUUGUUGUGUUGGAGAAGAUUGAGGUUGGAAGUGAUGUUACAAAACUUCCUACCAAGUGGUGGUGGUGGUGUUAUUGAUACAAUAUCCGGCAGCAGUUCAUACAAAAAUAUGGCAUUUUUUGGCAGUGGUAUAACAUUGGCUUAUUUACCACCAGGGUUGCAGGAACCAAUAGUGAAGAAGGGGUUGAUGUUAACUAUGAAGAAAUAAUUGAAGCCACUUCAAUUGGCUUUAGUUCAAUGAUUUCCAAAUUUGUUCGAAUGUUGGAUUUGGAGAAGGGAAUGAUGGACUACCUAUAUGCAAAGUACACUCCUUGUAUCACAGAUUGUAAUGGCAGAGCUUGAGAAGUUGGGUCAGAAAUAUCGUGUGGCUCUGGGGAACACCAAAGAUCCCCAUUUAGAGACUACUGUGCACUCAUAAAGGGACCUAUGCUGAUGACGGUCUUGUGGAUAGAGCUACCCAGGUA